UGUGGGAACCUCAAUAAGGUCGUGUUGUGUUUCGAUAGAGAGUAUUCUGGGACCCCAGUGUUAACCUCUUUGGACAUGUGGGAAGUACUACGGCCAGUCGAGGGGAACUGUUUCUCUUCUGGAAUCUCUACAAAGCUCCCAUACUGCUGGCUCUGAUGGCGGGAGAGGCUGCAGGCAUUAUGGAGAAAUAUCAGUGAUGAUGUCAUCGUUGGCCGUUGUUUGGCAAUCCUCAAGGGCAUCUUUGGAAGCAGUGCAGUACCUCAGCCAAAGGAGACGGUGGUGAGUCGCUGGCGAGCCGACCCUUGGGCCCGUGGGUCUUACUCGUAUGUAGCGGCCGGUUCAUCUGGUAAUGACUAUGAUCUCAUGGCCCAGCCCAUCACACCUGGUCCUGCCAUACCUGGAGCCUCACAGCCUGUUCCAAGUCUGUUUUU